rnacentral:rRNA from 1 species
AGACGGAGGGUGCAAGCGUUAAUCGGAAUUACUGGGCGUAAAGCGCUCGUAGGCGGCUUGUUAAGUCGGAUGUGAAAGCCCUGGGCUCAACCUGGGAACUGCAUUCGAUACUGGCAGGCUAGAGUAUAGUAGAGGCAAGUGGAAUUCCGGGUGUAGCGGUGAAAUGCGUGGAUAUCCGGAGGAACAUCAGUGGCGAAGGCGACUUGCUGGACUAAUACUGACGCUGAGGAGCGAAAGCGUGGGGAGCAAACAGGAUUAGAUACCCCGGUAGUCC